CAGCACAGUAAGAGCUUGCUCUUACGGGUGGCGAGUGGCGGACGGGUGAGGAAUGCAUCGGAAUCUACUCUGUCGUGGGGGAUAACGUAGGGAAACUUACGCUAAUACCGCAUACGACCUACGGGUGAAAGCAGGGGAUCUUCGGACCUUGCGCGAUUGAAUGAGCCGAUGCCCGAUUAGCUAGUUGGCGGGGUAAGAGCCCACCAAGGCGACGAUCGGUAGCUGGUCUGAGAGGAUGAUCAGCCACACUGGAACUGAGACACGGUCCAGACUCCUACGGGAGGCAGCAGUGGGGAAUAUUGGACAAUGGGCGCAAGCCUGAUCCAGCCAUACCGCGUGGGUGAAGAAGGCCUUCGGGUUGUAAAGCCCUUUUGUUGGGAAAGAAAAGCAGCCGGUUAAUACCCGGUUGUUCUGACGGUACCCAAAGAAUAAGCACCGGCUAACUUCGUGCCAGCAGCCGCGGUAAUACGAAGGGUGCAAGCGUUACUCGGAAUUACUGGGCGUAAAGCGUGCGUAGGUGGUUGUUUAAGUCUGUCGUGAAAGCCCUGGGCUCAACCUGGGAAUGGCGAUGGAAACUGGGCGACUAGAGUGUGGCAGAGGGUAGUG
rnacentral:rRNA from 1 species